GACCCAUUGCUGAGGGCAUCUCUGGGGGGAGUUCAUCGGACCCACCCACGCCCCAGGUCACAGGGGCCUACAUAAGAGUUACUGAUGGUGUAAUCUGUCUCGUUGAGCCUUCUGCCAUAACAGACCUCCAUGCUGUUGAGGAUGAUGAAGAAACCUUAUCAGCUGCCACAGAGAGGGAAGAUGCAGAGAGGCCUGCUGAAAGCCAUGCUGGAAAUUACAAUGGGGAAGAAGG